AGAUUGAACGCUGGCGGCAUGCCUAACACAUGCAAGUCGAACGGGAGUAGCAAUACUCUAGUGGCGGACGGGUGAGGAAUACGUAGGAAUUUGCCCUUAAGUGGGGGAUAACCCGGGGAAACCCGGAUUAAUACCGCAUGACCUCGAAAGAGCAAAGUGGGGGAUCGCAAGACCUCACGCUUUUGGAGAAGCCUACGUCGGAUUAGCUAGUUGGUGAGGUAAUGGCUCACCAAGGCGACGAUCCGUAACUGGUCUGAGAGGAUGAUCAGUCACACCGGAACUGAGACACGGUCCGGACUCCUACGGGAGCAGCAGUGGGGAAUAUGGACAAUGGGCNCAAGCCUGAUCAGCAAUGCCGCGUGUGUGAAGAAGGCCUUCGGUUGUAAGCA
rnacentral:rRNA from 1 species